rnacentral:rRNA from 1 species
GAUGAACGCUGGCGGCGUGCCUAAUACAUGCAAGUCGAGCGAACAGACGAGGAGCUUGCUCCUCUGACGUUAGCGGCGGACGGGUGAGUAACACGUGGAUAACCUACCUAUAAGACUGGGAUAACUUCGGGAAACCGGAUCUAAUACCGGAUAAUAUAUUGAACCGCAUGGUUCAAUAGUGAAAGACGGUUUUGCUGUCACUUAUAGAUGGAUCCGCGCCGCAUUAGCUAGUUGGUAAGGUAACGGCUUACCAAGGCAACGAUGCGUAGCCGACCUGAGAGGGUGAUCGGCCACACUGGAACUGAGACACGGUCCAGACUCCUACGGGAGGCAGCAGUAGGGAAUCUUCCGCAAUGGGCGAAAGCCUGACGUAGCAACGCCGCGUGAGUGAUGAAGGUCUUCGGAUCGUAAAACUCUGUUAUUAGGGAAGAACAAAUGUGUAAGUAACUAUGCACGUCUUGACGGUACCUAAUCAGAAAGCCACGGCUAACUACGUG